UAGGGAAUCUUAGGCAAUGGACGAAAGUCUGACCGAGCAACGCCGCGUGAGUGAAGAAGGUUUUCGGAUCGUAAAACUCUGUUGUUAGAGAAGAACAAGGACGUUAGUAACUGAACGUCCCCUGACGGUAUCUAACCAGAAAGCCACGGCUAACUACGUGCCAGCAGCCGCGGUAAUACGUAGGUGGCAAGCGUUGUCCGGAUUUAUUGGGCGUAAAGCGAGCGCAGGCGGUUUCUUAAGUCUGAUGUGAAAGCCCCCGGCUCAACCGGGGAGGGUCAUUGGAAACUGGGAGACUUGAGUGCAGAAGAGGGGAGGGGAAUUCCAUGUGUGGCGGUGAAAUGCGUGGAUUAAGGGAGAAACCCCAGUGGCGAGGGCGGCUCUCUGGUCUGUAACUGCCGCUGGGGCUGGAAAGCGUGGGGAGCAACAGG
rnacentral:rRNA from 1 species